GGCUUAGAGUUUGAUCCUGGCUCAGGGUGAACGCUGGCGGCGUGCCUAACACAUGCAAGUCGAGCGGGGAGGGGGUAGGCGCAAGCCGAGCCCUCCUAGCGGCAAACGGGUGAGUAACACGUGGGUGACCUGCCCCGGCGUGGGGGAUAACCCUCCGAAAGGGGGGCUAAUACCGCAUACGCUCGGCGGGGACGGCCCGUCGAGGAAAGGCCCGGGGAGGAGACGAACCGGGUCGCGCCGGGAGGGGCCCGCGGCCCAUCAGGUAGUUGGUGGGGUAAUGGCCCACCAAGCCGAUGACGGGUAGCCGGCCUGAGAGGGUGACCGGCCACACGGGCACUGAGACACGGGCCCGACUCCUACGGGAGGCAGCAGUGGGGAAUCUUGGGCAAUGGGCGAAAGCCUGACCCAGCGACGCCGCGUGCGGGAAGAAGCCCUUCGGGGUGUAAACCGCUUUUGCCGGGGACGAGAAAGGACGGUACCCGGCGAAUAAGGUCCGGCCAACUACGUGCCAGCAGCCGCGGUAAUACGUAGGGGCCGAGCGUUACCCGGAUUUACUGGGCGUAAAGUGCGCGUAGGCGGGGCCCUAAGUCGAGCGUGAAAGCCCCGGGCUCAACUCGGGGAGGCCGCUCGAUUCUGGGGCUCUUGAGGGCGGGAGAGGGUGGUGGAAUUCCCGGUGUAGCGGUGAAAUGCGUAGAAAUCGGGAGGAACACCGGUGGGGAAGCCGGCCAC
rnacentral:rRNA from 1 species